rfam:Cicer arietinum chromosome Ca5, whole genome shotgun sequence.
UGAAGGAUGAUAGAUUAGACGGAGUAUCAUUGAUAUUAUUCAUAUGUGAUAUGAUCAUAAUCAGCUACUUCUGACUACA